rnacentral:rRNA from 1 species
UACGUAGGGGGCAAGCGUUAUCCGGAUUUACUGGGUGUAAAGGGAGCGUAGACGGCAGCGCAAGUCUGGAGUGAAAUCCCAUGGCUUAACCAUGGAACUGCUCUGGAAACUGUGUAACUUGAGUGCAGGAGAGGUAAGCGGAAUUCCUAGUGUAGCGGUGAAAUGCGUAGAUAUAUGGAAGAACACCAGUGGCGAAAGCGGCUCUCUGGUCUGUAACUGACGCUGAGGUUCGAAAGCGUGGGUAGCAAACAGG